rnacentral:rRNA from 1 species
AACGCUAGCUACAGGCUUAACACAUGCAAGUCGAGGGGCAGCAUUUUAGUUUGCUUGCAAACUAAAGAUGGCGACCGGCGCACGGGUGAGUAACACGUAUCCAACCUGCCGAUAACUCGGGGAUAGCCUUUCGAAAGAAAGAUUAAUAUCCGAUGGUAUAUUAAAACCGCAUGGUUUUACUAUUAAAGAAUUUCGGUUAUCGAUGGGGAUGCGUUCCAUUAGUUUGUUGGCGGGGUAACGGCCCACCAAGACUACGAUGGAUAGGGGUUCUGAGAGGAAGGUCCCCCACAUUGGAACUGAGACACGGUCCAAACUCCUACGGGAGGCAGCAGUGAGGAAUAUUGGUCAAUGGACGAGAGUCUGAACCAGCCAAGUAGCGUGAAGGAUGACUGCCCUAUGGGUUGUAAACUUCUUUUAUAUGGGAAUAAAGUAUUCCACGUGUGGGAUUUUGUAUGUACCAUAUGAAUAAGGAUCGGCUAACUCCGUGCCAGCAGCCGCGGUAAUACGGAGGAUCCGAGCGUUAUCCGGAUUUAUUGGGUUUAAAGGGAGCGUAGGUGGAUUGUUAAGUCAGUUGUGAAAGUUUGCGGCUCAACCGUAAAAUUGCAGUUGAAACUGGCAGUCUUGAGUACAGUAGAGGUGGGCGGAAUUCGUGGUGUGGCGGUGAAAUGCUUAGAUAUCACGAAGAACUCCGAUUG